CACUGGUCUCUACCCUCCACCCCGCACGCAUCGUGCUCAGGGGUCACCAAACUACAUGGGCCACAACUGACCACAGCCUGGUUUUGUAAAUAAAGUGUGUUGGAACACGGCCAGCCCCAUUCCUUUGCGGAUUGACUUUGGCUGCUUGGUCGUGAUUCAGAUGGUAUGGUCCACACAGUGUAAAAUAUUUACCGUCUGACCGUUUUUAGAAAAAGUCUGCCAACUCCUCUUCUAGCUCAAUCUUUUGCUUGCUUUCUUGAUGUCAUUUUCCACAUAUAAGGAUUAAUUCAUGUAUUUUCAUGUUUACUUGUGUUUUGACCUGUCUUCCCAUAAAAAUGUAAAUUCCCUGAGCCUAGGGGCCUUAGAUGACAGUUUCACGCCUGUUUCCCCAGUCUGAGCAUGGGGGAGGGUGUAUAGGAGUAUUCAAUUAUUAUUUCUUGACCAAAAUUUAAAAAAGUUAAUGACAUUGUCCAAUGUUUCCUAGGACUCAUCGAGUAAUUAAUUAGCAGUCAAAUUAAUAUUUUUGGAUUAUCUGUAGUCUGCUUGCCCCAAACAUGCACCCCCCGUAGGUGGGUAGAUGGAUGUUGACUAUGUAUUUACAUACUUCUUGCUCCUGGCAGCCAUCUCUGGCCACAGGCGCUUCUAAUUCUCUCCCAACCCUAAUGGUCUUCUGGGUAAUUUGGGGGAAUUAAUUGGUUACAAAUGGCAAAAAAUGGAUAAAACUUUUCACUUUGCAGGAGUGGACAGGAUGGAAGAUAGGCAACAAGCUGGUUUCUGGAAGAAGGAGCCCUGAGCUGGGAGCCAAGCAUCAUGUUCUAGUCUUGAGGCCAUGAACUUGUUAUACAUAGCCUCAAUUUCUUUGGAAAUAGGUAGAUUAUGAAUUACAACUGUGAGAACAUAGUCUCUCUAGGCCUUACUGUCUUCAUCUGGAAAAUGUUUUCCAAAGAGACAGAAUUACUACUGAACAAUUUCCUGGGGCUCUUGUUAAAGUCAGAUUCCCCGAGUGAGACCAGGUGGUUCUGACUCACAGCCGGACCCACUGGAUUAAAAGGUGUCUGAAUUUUCUCCCAUAUCUCACAUUCUUGAUGCUAAUUUCUGGUUCAAGUUCAUCCACAAGCAUUUGCUCUGUUCUUUGGGCAAGAUGCUGCCCGUCUCUGAGCCUGUCUCUUAGUGUGUGGUAGGAUCAUAUUUUAAAAGUAUGAGCUGACUGUUUUUUCUUUUGCCUUCUUGGCCCUCCCUUCCCUCAGCAGUGUGAGUGCUGUCUUUCUCCAUACCCCUCCCUGUGAUAGAAGAAAGGAGAGGGAAAAGGAACUCUCUUCCUGGCCUUUAAGUUUCAAUAGCCUAGACCCUUCAGGUACAGAAAGGACUCAUAUCAGAGGAAAAAUAUUUAGAAGGAAAUAAGACGCAUGACAGGAAGACCCUCUCUCGCCCCAUCUCUGAUGAGAAAAAGACUCUCCAGGCUGCAGGCACGGGGGAGGGUUGGAGGGGAUGCAGGGAAGGUGUAGAUGUGGGGAGACCCCAUGAGGGGCUUGGCUUCCCUCACCGCAGGCUGAACCUGGAGAAGCAGCAACAUUGCCAGGUGUGUGUGGGAGCAGAGGGCAGAGAGGACUUGUGUCUGUUUUCCAAGGAGGCAGCAGGACCUCAGGGAAGAAUGGCUUCCGGUGAGUCUUGAUAAAAACCAGCCUGGAUAGCCUCAGUUUAUCCUCGACCUAAAAUGAAAAAGAAGCAGAUGAUUCUAGAGCAGUCACGAGGCCGGCAGGGGUCUCAGGGGCAGGAACGGGGAUGAUUUGGCAGUGACCUGCAUGGGUCGAUGAUGUCAACAUCCGGAUGGCUUUUCCUUCUCCCUCCCUGACCAAACCUCAACAUUGCAUUGGCCUUCCUGAACCUUCUGUGCAACCUCAGGGAAAAAGGAGGGUGGCCUGACUUAGCUGAAGUUAUUCCACCACCUUAGUUAGACAAAAAAGAAUAUUUUCACCCCUCGCUGAUGCAGAUUUGAGGCUGGGCUUGAAAAUGGGGACAAAAUGGGGUAUAAGGUUUUUAAUGGAUGAGAAAGUUGGCUUGGAAUAAAAAUACAGAGAUGGAGAAAGGGAGAGAGGGAAAGUGAGAGAGAGAAAUGGAAAAUCAGUCUCCCAGCUGCCAGCAGCCCAGCUGGUGGGCACCAGAUGGGAAAACGAUGAUCUACAGAUCAGGUCUGGUUAACAAGGCUGAUGGCAACCACGAGACACCACCUGCAGCUGGCUUUGCGGAAAAUCUGGCCCCCGAGCGUGGGGCUUCCGGUGAUCCAUCUUGGGAACCACUGAGCGAUGAACUUGCUAAAUGGUUUCCGCUGGAGACCUGCUCAGCUUACACUCAGCUGCAAACGGUGGCAGACUCACUGCUGCUGGAAAGCCGAUGGCGCAAAUGGUGGUGGUGAUGCCGAGGUCUUGUUGCAGUGAACACGCCCUGCAGCAGAUGCCUGGGUUGGCAGCUCCUGGGUCUGCUGAACUCACAUUGCUGACACUCCCUGAGUGUUCCAGAGGCACAUCUGUUCACUUUGUGUGUGCCAUUUUCUUCCUUCCAAUGUCUACUUUCCUCUGACCAGCAUCUGCCCUUCGGCUCCAAUGGAGCCUGACGCUUCUGCUUGCCUCCACCCAAAGGAUCAGGCUGGUCCUGAUUAGGAAUUGAGGCUGUUGCAACCAGAAGGGGUAGACAGUGGAGCAUAGCGGAUGUGAGAGCCGGGCUCUGAGGGAGUUGGCCCCCAAUCCUGGCUCCACCUCUAUCUGUGGGACUUGGGAUGCUCCGGAUUGGAUGUCGUCACGUCUUUCUAAGUAGUUCUUGACCUUGGAUUUUCAUUAGAGUUAUCUGAGGAGACUUUCAAAAUUGCGAUGCCCAGAUCACACGUUGGAACAAUUACAACGAUCUCUGGGAGCGGGAUGAGGCGUCAGUACUUUGUAAAAAUUGCCCAGGUGAUCCCAAUGUGCGGGCGUGGUGGAGACUCGCUGUGUGAGAACAGCGCGUCUCAAACUUUCCUGCGUAUGUGAAUCACUGGGGAUUUUGCUAAAACGCAGAUUCUGAUUCAGUAGGGCUGCAGUGGAACCACGGAAUCUGCGUGUCUGACAGGCUCCCGGAGGAUGCUGCUGCGGGUUCCAGGACCACAGUUUGUGGAGCAAGACUUUGAGGGCUCAGCCGUCUGGCUCUGCUCUCAGAAGCUACAAGUCCAUGAGAAACUCGGGCUGCGGACAUCCAUCUGGGGACUUCGCUGCCCACCCUCAUCAGUAGAAUGAGACUGGAAAGUGAGUGUGGGCAUUUGCCACUUUUAGAGCUAGACAGCAUCUGAAGCUCCUUCUUGUGCUUUGGGAACCACCCACUGUGCAUCUCACUAGGUGGCCCUAUUGCCAUUCAUGGAAGCUGACGUGGCCAGAUGAUCUCCUGCCCCAGGAAGGUUAGAAAAAUAUGGCCAAUGAUAUUUCCCUGGUUGUUCGUCGCUGACGGCCUUGUCAGCUGGCAUCACCUCAGGCCUGCGGACUAUGCAGGAGCCACUGCUGCUUGGAGACGACAGAGGAAGGGGUCAGUGGCUCACCGUUGACUGGCUGGGAGCUGGGACCCUAAAAUCUCUCCCCUCGCCACCUCCUCUUCCGUCACCGAAGAAUCAACAUUAGUUUCAUCUUUGCAGCUACCAGGCCUCUCACCUUUCCACUUCCUUCCAUGCGGCUUUUCCUCCCCCACUUCCUUUUUAUAUGAUUUUGACUAAGAUGGAAGAAAAUAAGAAAGAAUAUAACAGUGACCAACUCUGGAAUUUUACCUAGCAUGGUUUCUUUCUUUCUUUCUUUUUUUUUUUUUCUCUUAAUGAUGUCAGUUUCCUCCUCUACAAAAAGAAGUUUGGAUGGAGUGAUCUCACUGGUCCCUUCAGGCUUUUGAGGCCCUUCCUCUGACUCACCAGCCCCAGCCUCCUGUGCACAUCCUGGAACCUGGUGGGGAGAUGUGUCCGUACCUAAAGCAACUUCCAGUGUUAAUCCUCCACAGUCUCCUGAAUGAGUCAGCGAAACAGCAAGAGAGGAGGACAUGAGUCUGUGGAGGCCCCACGAAGGCCACUUUCCAAAGCAUGACACGUGGAAGGAAUCCCAUUAAACCAUGGUCUUCUUCAGAAUCAGCAGGGAGCCCCAGAGAGUCUCGCUUAGUAAGUCUGGGGUUCAGCUCCAAAAUGUGCAUUUCUAACCCGUAGCCCAAACUUAUUCUGAUGCAGGUAGCCCAAGAACCAAACUUCAAGAGACACAGGUAUAGACCAGAGUUACGUAACCUGGGCACCAUCGGCAUUUGGGCUGGAUGAUUCUUAGUUGUGGGGGGCUGCCCUCUGCAUUGUAGGAUGUUCAACAGCAUCCCUGGCCUCUGCCCACUAGAUGCCAGGAGCAGCCCACACUCCCCAAUUGAUACAAUCAAAAAUGUCUCCAGACCCCGUCAUUUGUCCCCUGGGGAGUAAAAUUGCCUCUGACUGAGAACUGCUGCCACAGAUAGAGCUUCUUCUUGGGACCUGCAAUCACACAUUUUGAUCAACACAAACAGGUUGCUAGAAGAGAAGGGUUCAUGUCGUCAGCUGAGGCAAAGAUACCUCCAAUGGAAGCCAACCCAUGUGAUGGGCAUGUCUUUGGUCCUGGCAACAGCCUGUGGAAGAGAGGCAGGGCCCUUGGAGAAUCCCUCUGGCAGGACUGAAUACAGCACUGCCUAACUCCCACACUCGGGGGACAGGGUGGUCCACCAGCUUCCCCAGACUUCCGAGAGACCAUUUGGACAUCAUGAGCUCUCGCAUCCACCAGGCUCCUCGGUCACUUUGGGAAGUCAGCUCCCCAGUAGCAAAUGUCUGUCUAGCACUUGCUGUGUGCCAAGCACUGGGCUGAGUGCUUUGCAUACAUUACCAUUGCUGAUCUUCCCAGCAGCCUUAUGAUGCAGCUUCUAAUAUCAUCCCUAUUAAACAAAUAAGAAAAGUGUGUCAAAUAGCGCGUCCAAGUGGUCAGCCCUGGAUUUAAGCUCAGACAUCCUGACUCCAGAGUCUGCGUUGUAACCCACUGUGCUGUACACAUGUGUGCCUGUCUCUCCCCAUUUCCUGAAAAAUACCCAUCUUGUCUAAACACCAGGGAAACAGGAUUUUCGGUGAAAACAUAUUAUAAUAAAAAUUAAGGAUGCUUUUUGAACUAAGCCUUCCUGACUGGAGACCAGGAUACAUCAACCUGGGUAGCAUUCUGCUCCCUGGGGAGCAGCAUAGGCAUGAAUCCUACCCAGGGCAUGUAACCAGGCACCUCCUUUUGUCCAUGUUCCUGACUGUUUGAAAGGUUUUGGAAUGUCAGCGAGUGGAGAGGAGCAGCGGGGGAGGAGGAGGUGACGUGCAAGAGGACAUUGAGAGGGGUUCAGGACAUCUGCAUGCAUCUACCUUCCCCACUGGGAGGUUUUAGGCAAAGUUCUCUGUGAAUUUUUACAAACACCACCAGCAAACCCCUGCGGAAUAGUAGGAACUUUGGGUUGGAUGGCACUGUGAGGAUUCCCACCGUGCCUGGCUUUAUUCUCUAAAGACGAGCAGGGGAUGAGCAAAGCCAUCAUUUAGAAUGGUGAUUGCAUCUGCGUAUGAGCAUAUUGCUACAGUAGUUCAAAACCCUUAAUUUAUAUGUCGACUGCAAAUAGGAAAAAGCAAGGGGAAGUGGAAGAGGAGAUAAGCGUGACUUCAGAGCGCCAGUGAGCUGGAAUGCCUUGCAAGGUGCUGCCAAACUGUGAUCAGUGUCAAGUUUACUGUCUUGUAGCUGAAGAUCACUUGAGUAGACAGUGUUAGAAAAGCAGGACGGUGGGUGGAGCAGGUCCUGUGCUGUGGGAGGGACAGGGUACAAAUUGGUAUAGAGAGAGGCAGGCGGCAUCAUUAAGGGCAAGCCAGUGGCGUGGAGAGUUGGUGUGUUUAGUGACAGGAAAGGAUUUGCCUUGUCUGUACAUAAAAAAGAGUGAGGUCAAGGCACAAACAGGUGUGUUCAAAUAGCAGCCCCACUGUUGAAGGGGUCCAUGGUGAUUUUUGAAGAAAAAAAAAAUUCUAAGUUGUUUGUCCAGUGGGACUUUUCUUGCAAGUGACAGAGACUCAAUUUAAACUGAUUUAAGCAAAACACAAAACAAAGCAGAAAACAAACAAAUGCAUAUAUGUGUGGAGAGGGAGGGUCAUUAAUUAACCCAAUGGAAAAUUCCAGAAGCUCAAAUGAUGUCAAUAGUGCUUUGUUUUUCUUUGUCUUUUGAUAUCACCUUCUUCUGUUGGGCACUCUCAUUGACAGAUUUUCUCUGCAUGACAGCCCCCAAGCGUGUCUAGAUUCAAGUCCAGUAGAAAGAGAAGUCUUGUCUUUGUCACUGGUCCAAGCUAAAGUUCCCUAUUUUAGUCUCAUUGGCCAGUCCUGGGUUCCAUGCUUUCCUUGAAUGAGGGGUUUAGGUCAGGCCCACCCAAACCACAUGGUCUGAGAAUAAGGGAGGGGCCUCACUCUGAGGGGGAGACGCCUCAUGGGUUCAUGAUGGAUUCAGAUGGGCUACUUGAUCUUUCCCACUCCAGGUUGAACAGUGAUCUACAGUCCUAAGCUUGCUGAUCCUGUGGUCACACAAAGUAUUCCUACCGUUAAAUUUCCUUCCUGUUCUGUAAUAAGCUUGGGCUGGCAAUUUGAUUUUAUUGACGGUCACAUCCCAAGUGAUGAUUUUUGAUUUACAAAAAAGUAAACUCCAGGAUUGGAUUUACUGAUAAAUAUCAUAUAAAGUCAUAGAGAUGAACACGAUACAGCACUUUUCUUUUCUUUUUUAAUGUGAAAACCUCUUAAAGGGGGGGCCAGAUCUUUGUGUCUCUCCCAAGUCUCCCAUCACCGUACCCAGUGGCUCCCGCAAUCUCUUGUAGCACAAGCCAACUCACACAAUCCUCAGCCACAGGAGCUCUGCCACCCUGCAGUGAGGCCACCGGACAGAGGAGGGGAGGGGAGGUGGGCACACACAAAAGUAAUUUAUUUAAGAGUGGUCACAACCACAGCUAUGGUGACAGCCGGUUUGCAGUCCUGGAAGCCUCUGAAAGGCUCAGUACAUCCUUCCCUCUUUGGGUUUUACAGUCUUGGACUAUCUUCUUAUGAUCCAAUCUUGGGUCCAAAGCCCCUUUUGGACCUUGUUUUGGCAAGUCAGCGAGACCACAUGCUGCUGUGCCCCAACUUCCCAUUUAUCUAAUUGGGGUCUGACUUUUCCCUCAUCAGAUGAUUCACACAGGGGUGUG
ensembl:lncRNA